UCUUAUAAGAUUUAUGCUAUUGUUGGUGUAUUUAAUGUGUUUUAUCGUUUGUGAAUGUUAUGUGAUUGUGAAAAAGUGCUAUGAUUAAAACUUGAAAUGAAAAAAACAAACAAAAACGUUUCAAGUUGUGUUGAUCUUAAAAUUCUAUGUAUCCUCUCUUUCAUCUUAUUUGUUUGAAUAAAUAGAAAAAAAUGUCUCAGUGUCUGUUGAUAAUUUGUUGCAGGUGUCUGAUGCUGACUUUGUUGAUACCCCUAAGCCAAAUGAAAGCCCAUUCAAGCAGGCCUGUGACCCUGAAUCUCCCAAAGUGACUAUGCAGAUACAUGGAGGGACUCCUCAGUCUGAUGAAAUUGAACAUCAUUCCACAACAUUCAGUCAAGGUGCCAGAUCCUAUGACGUUGCAUCAAUUAUGCUGCAUGACUACUGUGAGGCUGUGUGUGAAGACGACAUCAGUUCAGUUGCAUAAGAUAUGGAUCAUCGCAAACAGAAAUGGUGGAAGUUAGAACCAUGUCUACUCAAACUGACGAUGUAAUGUUCCAGUGUUUGAAUCCUGUGAAAACAUCCUGUGCAAUGACUCAGACUGAGACUGAAAAUAAAAAAGUCUUUCGCAAUCAA